GUGAGGAAUAUUGGACAAUGGGCGCAAGCCUGAUCCAGCCAUGCCGCGUGCAGGAAGACGCAUCUAUGGUGUGUAAACUGCUUUUGUACGGGAAGAAACACUCCCUCGUGAGGGAGCUUGACGGUACCGUAAGAAUAAGGAUCGGCUAACUCCGUGCCAGCAGCCGCGGUAAUACGGAGGAUCCAAGCGUUAUCCGGAAUCAUUGGGUUUAAAGGGUCCGUAGGCGGUUUAAUAAGUCAGUGGUGAAAGCCCAUCGCUCAACGAUGGAACGGCCAUUGAUACUGUUAGACUUGAAUUACAAGGAAGUAACUAGAAUAUGUAGUGUAGCGGUGAAAUGCUUAGAUAUUACAUGGAAUACCAAUUGCGAAGGCAGGUUACUACUUGUGGAUUGACGCUGAUGGACGAAAGCGUGGGGAGCAAACAGGAUUAGAUACCCUUGUAGUCC
rnacentral:rRNA from 1 species